GACAACAGGGAUUGCCCUAGUAACGGCGAGUGAAGCGGCAACAGCUCAAAUUUGAAAUCUGGCGCAAGCCCGAGUUGUAAUUUGUAGAGGAUGCUUCUGGGUAGCGACCGAUCUAAGUUCCUUGGAACAGGACGUCAUAGAGGGUGAGAAUCCCGUAUGUGACCGGCCCGCACCCUUUACGUAGCUCCUUCGACGAGUCGAGUUGUUUGGGAAUGCAGCUCUAAAUGGGAGGUAAAUUUCUUCUAAAGCUAAAUACCGGCCAGAGACCGAUAGCGCACAAGUAGAGUGAUCGAAAGAUGAAAAGUACUUUGGAAAGAGAGUUAAAAAGCACGUGAAAUUGUUGAAAGGGAAGCGCCUGCAACCAGACUUCGCGGCAGUGUUCCGCCGGUCUUCUGACCGGUUCAUUCUCUGUCGCGAGGCCAUCAUCGUCUGGGCCCGCCGGAUAAGACCUGAGGAAUGUGGCUCCCCCUCGGGGGAGUGUUAUAGCCUCUGGUGAUGCGGCGUGGCUCGGGCGAGGUCCGCGCUUCGGCAAGGAUGAUGGCGUAAUGGUUGUCGGCGGCCCGUCUUGAAACACGGACCAAGGAGUCUAACAUCUAUGCGAGUGUUCGGGUGUCAAACCCCUACGCGUAAUGAAAGUGAACGGAGGUGGGAACCGCAAGGUGCACCAUCGACCGAUCCUGAUGUCCUCGGAUGGAUUUGAGUAAGAGCAUAGCUGUUGGGACCCGAAAGAUGGUGAACUAUGCCUGAAUAGGGUGAAGCCAGAGGAAACUCUGGUGGAGGCUCGCAGCGGUUCUGACGUGCAAAUCGAUCGUCAAAUUUGGGUAUAGGGGCGAAAGACUAAUCGAACCAUCUAGUAGCUGGUUCCUGCGAUCU
rnacentral:rRNA from 1 species